GGCGGUAGUUUAACUGGCGAGAGCGCCAGUUCGUCAAUCUGGAGGUCGCAGGUUCGAGUCCUGUUAGCCGUCG
rnacentral:tRNA from 1 species